rnacentral:rRNA from 1 species
CAGCCGCCGCGGGAAUACGUAGGUCCCGAGCGUUGUCCGGAUUUAUUGGGUGUAAAGCGAGCGCAGGCGGUUAGAUAAGUCUGAAGUUAAAGGCUGUGGCUUAACCAUAGUACGCUUUGGAAACUGUUUAACUUGAGUGCAAGAGGGGAGAGUGGAAUUCCAUGUGUAGCGGUGAAAUGCGUAGAUAUAUGGAGGAACACCGGUGGCGAAAGCGGCUCUCUGGCUUGUAACUGACGCUGAGGCUCGAAAGCGUGGGGAGCAAACAGGAUCAGAUACCCCGGUAGUCCCUGUCUCUUAUACA